GACGAACGCUGGCGGCGUGCUUAACACAUGCAAGUCGAGCGGUAAGGCCCUUUCGGGGGUACACGAGCGGCGAACGGGUGAGUAACACGUGGGUGACCUGCCCUCAGCUCUGGGAUAAGCCUGGGAAACCGGGUCUAAUACUGGAUAUGACUCCAUGACGCAUGUUGUGGGGUGAAAGCCUUGUGCGGCUGAGGAUGGGCCCGCGGCCUAUCAGCUUGUUGGUGGGGUGANGGCCUACCAAGGCGACGACGGGUAGCCGGCCUGAGAGGGCGACCGGCCACACUGGGACUGAGACACGGCCCAGACUCCUACGGGAGGCAGCAGUGGGGAAUCUUGCGCAAUGGGCGAAAGCCUGACGCAGCGACGCCGCGUGAGGGAUGACGGCCU
rnacentral:rRNA from 1 species